rnacentral:rRNA from 1 species
AUUGAACGCUGGCGGCAGGCUUAACACAUGCAAGUCGAGCGGGGUGAUGGUGCUUGCACUAUCACUUAGCGGCGGACGGGGGAGUAAUGCUUAGGAAUCUGCCUAUUAGUGGGGGACAACAUCUCGAAAGGGAUGCUGAUACCGCAUACGUCCUACGGGAGAAAGCAGGGGAUCACUUGUGACCUUGUGCUAAUAGAUGAGGCGAGGUGGGAUUAGGUAGUUGGGGGGGUAAAGGCCUACCAAGGCGACGAUCUGUAGCGGGUCUGAGAGGAUGAUCCGCCACACUGGGACGGAGACACGGCCCAGACUCCUACGGGAGGCAGCAGUGGGGAAUAUUGGACAAUGGGGGGAACCCUGAUCCAGCCAUGCCGCGUGUGUGAAGAAGGCCUUAUGGUUGUAAAGCACUUUAAGCGAGGAGGAGGCUCUUUUGGUUAAUACCCAAGAUGAGUGGACGUUACUCGCAGAAUAAGCACCGGCUAACUCUGUGCCAGCCGCCGCCGUAA